GUUGGCCUCACUAGAAGCCCCGGCUUUGAUGCUUCAGUGUCGCUCCCUCGUGUCCAGUGCAGCAGCCUCCACACAGUAGCUGCUUAACAAUCACGUGAAUGCUGUGUGGAAGAGGACUCUGAUGCCGUGGCCUGGUCCAAGGGAAGUAUGUCAUGAAGAUGAUGGGUGAUCGAUGUCUGUAAUGGUCAUCGUGGUGCCCUGACAAGUGUCAGAUGCCGGAGCCCUAGGCCAUGUGGAAAGGAUAUGCUUGCUGAGCAGCAGGGUCUCAGUUUCCCCAGGAGUAUCUAAUAUAAUACCGGCUCCCUAUGAAUAAUGCUCCAGCACAGUAUCCUGUACCUGGUCAGCACAAGAAACAGGUGGGAUUUUCUUCCAUACUGUGCCUCUUGCUAGCUGCGUUAUU